rnacentral:rRNA from 1 species
UACGAAGGGGGCUAGCGUUGUUCGGAAUUACUGGGCGUAAAGGGCGCGUAGGCGGUUUGACCAGUCAGGUGUGAAAUUCCCGGGCUUAACCUGGGGGCUGCACUUGAUACUGUCAGGCUUGAAUUCGGGAGAGGAUAGUGGAAUUCCCAGUGUAGAGGUGAAAUUCGUAGAUAUUGGGAAGAACACCAGUGGCGAAGGCGACUAUCUGGACCGACAUUGACGCUGAGGCGCGAAAGCGUGGGGAGCAAACAGG